AUACGGAGGGAGCGAGCGUUAAUCGGAAUUACUGGGCGUAAAGCGCGCGUAGGCGGCUUUGUAAGUCGGAUGUGAAAGCCCCGGGCUCAACCCGGGAAUGGCAUUCGAUACUGCAUAACUAGAGUAUGGUAGAGGGAAGUGGAAUUUCCGGUGUAGCGGUGAAAUGCGUAGAUAUCGGAAGGAACACCAGUGGCGAAGGCGACUUCCUGGGCCAAUACUGACGCUAAGGUGCGGAAGCGUGGGGAGCAAACAGGAUUAGAAACCCGAGUAGUCC
rnacentral:rRNA from 1 species